rnacentral:tRNA from 1 species
GGAAGGGUGUCCGAGCGGUUUAAGGAACCGGUCUUGAAAACCGGCGUGCGGGCAACCGCACCGUUGGGUUCGAAUCCCACCCCUUCCG